rnacentral:rRNA from 1 species
CAGGAUGAACGCUGGCGGCAUGCCUAACACACGCAAGUCGAACGGGGUUUAUAUAACAGAACUCUCCGGAGGGAAGAUAUAUAAACCUAGUGGCGGACGGGUGAGUAACGCGUGGGCAACCUGCCCUGUACCGGGGGACAACAGCCAGAAAUGGCUGCUAAUACCGCAUAAGCCUGCUGUGCCGCAUGGCACAGCAGGGAAAACCACGGUGGUACAGGAUGGGCCCGCGUCUGAUUAGUUAGUUGGCAGGGUAACGGCCUACCAAGACAACGAUCAGUAGCCGGCUUGAGAGAGUGGACGGCCACAUUGGGACUGAGACACGGCCCAGACUCCUGCGGGAGGCAGCAGUGGGGAAUAUUGCACAAUGGGGGGAACCCUGAUGCAGCAAUGCCGCGUGGGUGAAGAAGCACUCCGGUGCGUAAAGCCCUGUCAGCAGGGAAGAAAAUGACAGUACCUGGACAAGAAGCCCCGGCUAACUACGUGCCAGCAGCCGCGGUAAUACGUAGGGGGCAAGCGUUAUCCGGAUUUACUGGGUGUAAAGGGAGCGCAGGCGGCGUGGCAAGUCAGAUGUGAAAACCCGGGGCCCAACCCCGGGAGUGCAUUUGAAACUGCCAUGCUGGAGUGCCGGAGAGGUAAGCGGAAUUCCUAGUAUAGCGGUGAAAUGCGUAGAUAUUAGGAGGAACACCAGUGGCGGAGGCGGCUUACUGGACGGUAACUGACGCUGAGGCUCGAAAGCGUGGGGAGCAAACAGGAUUAGAUACCCUGGUAGUCCACGCCGUAA